rnacentral:tRNA from 2 species
GGGGAAGUAGCUCAGUUGGGAGAGCGCAGCGUUCGCAAUGCUGAGGUCGGGAGUUCGAUCCUCCUCUUCUCCACCA